rnacentral:rRNA from 1 species
CUUUUUUGGAGAGUUUGAUCUUGGCUCAGGACGAACGCUGGCGGCGUGCCUAAUACAUGCAAGUCGAGCGCGUGAAGCAGCGGGUCGCCCUUCGGGGCGCACCCCUGUGGAACGAGCGGCGGACGGGUGAGUAACACGUGGGCAACCUGCCUGUAAGACUGGGAUAACUCGCGGAAACGCGAGCUAAUACCGGAUAAUGCUCGUGGUUGCAUAAUCACA